rnacentral:rRNA from 1 species
UACGAAGGGUGCAAGCGUUGUUCGGAAUUACUGGGCGUAAAGGGCGCGUAGGCGGGUUUGUAAGUCGAUUGUGAAAUCCCUAGGCUCAACCUGGGAACUGCAGUCGAUACUGCUAAUCUUGAAUACCUGAGAGGAUGGCGGAAUUCCCGGUGUAGUAGUGAAAUACGUAGAUAUCGGGAAGAACACCUGAGGCGAAGGCGGCUAUCUGGCAGUGUAUUGACGCUGAGGCACGAAAGCGUGGGGAGCAAACAGG